GACGAACGCUGGCGGCGUGCUUAACACAUGCAAGUCGAACGGAAAGGCCCUGCUUUUGUGGGGUGCUCGAGUGGCGAACGGGUGAGUAACACGUGAGUAACCUGCCCUUGACUUUGGGAUAACUUCAGGAAACUGGGGCUAAUACCGGAUAGGAGCUCCUGCUGCAUGUUGGGGGUUGGAAAGUUUCGGCGGUUGGGGAUGGACUCGCGGCUUAUCAGCUUGUUGGUGGGGUAGUGGCUUACCAAGGCUUUGACGGGUAGCCUGCCUGAGAGGGUGACCGGCGACAUUGGGACUGAGAGACGGCCCAGACUCCUACGGGAGGCAGCAGGGGGGAAUAUUGCACAAUGGGCGGAAGCCUGAUGCAGCAACGCCGCGUGCGGGAUGACGGCCUUCGGGUUGUAAACCGCUUUCGCCAGUGACGAAGCGUGAGUGACGGUAAUGGGUAAAGAAGCACCGGCUAAAUAAGUG
rnacentral:rRNA from 1 species